GGAGUGAACACUAUGCGUGAAAGGGUUAAUUCCAUUGGGUUUAAUGUGCAAAGAAAAAACAAACAAUUGCUUUAUCAGCUGCUAAAGUGUGUAUACAUUUUUUUGGGACACCCUGUAUGUGUGCUGAAACUUUAAGACUAGUGGUGACCUGAGCCUUUUGUACAUCCUGCACAUGUAAAUAAAUCAUAGAAACAGCUCAUUAUCUUAAAAAUGAAGUGAAUUCUUGUCAACAAAUGACCAGCCUCCAAAACAACCCAGACCAAGGUCAUGAAAACACAUGAGCACAUGUCGUAAAUCUUACAUAGCGGACCUUUUUGAAUUUUAACUUCAUUUUCUGGACACCACACUCUUCUGUCCAUCAUUUCAGAAUUUUUCACAGCAGUAUUAUAUUAUAUUAUAUUAUUUAAGAAAAUCCACCAGAAUGACUAGAGUGACUGUGAAAAACCCCAGUCCUCUGUUAGACUUGCUCUAUCACACAAAAACAACCAAAUGUACAAGGAAUACAGUUGCCAACAAAUACGAACGUUUACUUGAAGAACUCUGUUUUGAAGAUAAGCUUUUACAUUCUAAUAAUUUAUGUUAAGGCAAGUGAGCAAUUCCAUAAACCAGCUUCUGCAUUGUAAAAAGCAAAAUGUAUAAUUCUUCUAGUACUAUUAUCAGUGUCUGUAGAGUUAAUUUAUCCCGUGAAUAUGGGAUGUUUCAAAAUUACUCCUGGCUGUAUUCUAACUUGAAUUAUUCUGUAGUCGAAACCUGUGCUUUUUGUAUAAUUUGAAUUAAUCUUUCUAAUGACGUAUACAGAUAGAUGAGAAACUAAAAGUCUCACAUAGCAGCAGCAGUGGGUCGUAGUUUAUUAUUAUAAUUUUUUGUGUCAUCGCUCUCACACAGUCUGUAACUUAGGCUUCCUCAUCGCCACCCUCACUUUGGAGAUGUAUUUGAUUCUUUUCUAUUUUGACUUUUUCUAACUCAUAAUGUUACAAUGCACUGAUAACUUUAUCUUGCAGAACACUGUUGAGUAAUGAAACGUUCCAGUUGCCUAACUCUUUAGUGUGCUUUUCUUCCUCUAACACUUUGGAUGUUUAUUGUUUUAAUAAAAAAAAAACAAAAAAAAAACAAUGACUUUCGUUCAUUCUCAGUGUCCUUUUUAUAACCAGCUUUAAUAGUUCCAUCAAACAAUGGGAUAUAAAAAAAAAAAAUUGGUAUAUUUAUCUGUAUUUGUGUGUUUUAUUCAUAUGGAUGCAUCCUGCUUAUAAAGCUGCCAAAAAGCGGACAACGUCUGGAAAAUUUGUCAUGUCAUUUUUAAGUGCGUAUACACUGUUCCUACCUGUUAUCCUGUAAAAUAUGAUCAACACAAGUCAAAUUCACACUUUUUUAUUAGUGCCUUUGCUGUAACAUUACUGCAGUUGUCAAUUCAGUCUUUAUAUUGUCUUGAUAUGUGCAACCCAGGGUAACACUGCCUCAGAGGAUCAACGACGAAAAAAGUGUCUUGAACUAAAGUCACUGGUGAAUGAAAUAUUUGAUAGUUUAUUUAUAGUACAAAUAUUGCCGAAAUCAUUCUGUUGAGGUAAGACGGCGAGUCAUUUUUUUGGUGAACUCGGCUCAUGGAAACACCUAUUUUAUCUAAUUUAAGAUGAUUACUUGUAAAUUAGAGUAGUUGCAUUAUCUGCAUGCUCACGUUGUUGAAACAGCAAAGUUUAACUGUCUAUAAGGGACUGUAUAUGUUUUCACUUAAAUGUUAAUGAAGACUUUUUUGACACACGAAGACAUUUUUAUAUUUGAGUUUUGUGCAAAUUCAACAAAUACUGUGUGUACACCUAAAAGUAAUAAACAUCCUACUUCUCCAAUAAUUUACCAA